rnacentral:rRNA from 1 species
UACGUAGGUGACAAGCGUUAUCCGGAUUUACUGGGCGUAAAGGGCGUGUAGGCGGUCUUACAAGUCAGAUGUGAAAUUCCCGGGCUCAACUUGGGCGCUGCAUCUGAAACUGCAAGACUUGAGUGCUGGAGGGGAUAGCGGAAUUCCUAGUGGAGCGGUAAAAUGCGCAGAGAUUAGGAAGAACACCGGUGGCGAAGGCGGCUAUCUGGACAGUAACUGACGCUGAGGCGCGAAAGCGUGGGGAGCAAAC